AUCUUGUUAAAAUGCAGAAUCUGAUUCAGCAGGUCUGGGAUUGGCCUGAGAUUCUGCAUUUUUAACAAGGUC
rnacentral:miRNA from 1 species